rnacentral:rRNA from 1 species
GAUGAACGCUGGCGGCGUGCUUAACACAUGCAAGUCGAACGAUGUAGCCCAGCUUGCUGGGUGGAUUAGUGGCGAACGGGUGAGUAACACGUGAGCAACCUGCCCCUGACUCUGGGAUAAGCGCUGGAAACGGCGUCUAAUACUGGAUAUGUCCCGUCACCGCAUGGUGUGCGGGUGGAAAGAUUUUUCGGUUGGGGAUGGGCUCGCGGCCUAUCAGCUUGUUGGUGAGGUAAUGGCUCACCAAGGCGUCGACGGGUAGCCGGCCUGAGAGGGUGACCGGCCACACUGGGACUGAGACACGGCCCAGACUCCUACGGGAGGCAGCAGUGGGGAAUAUUGCACAAUGGGCGGAAGCCUGAUGCAGCAACGCCGCGUGAGGGAUGACGGCCUUCGGGUUGUAAACCUCUUUUAGCAGGGAAGAAGCGAAAGUGACGGUACCUGCAGAAAAAGCACCGGCUAACUACGUG